rnacentral:lncRNA from 1 species
GGAGAUGUGAUAGGAGAUAGGACUCAAUGACCCACCAAGCCACAACAGUUUUAUGACACCACAUGGUAAUGUCCCUGACGAGACCACAAGGAGAUAAGGUUUUCUGUUUUUGUGUUGUGUUUUUGUUUUGGGUUUUGGCCAAACUCUUCAACCAAAUGUCAAAUCCUUUUUGAAUGUUUUUUACGAUUUUUCAUUUUUGGAAGCAUUCA